rnacentral:miRNA from 1 species
UCCCACAUGACCGGAAGGAAAUCCUUCCGGUCAAUGUGAAACAACAACCUCAUCAACCGGAAGGGGUUCCUUCUGGUUGAUGAGGUAUAACAACCUCAUCAACUGGAAGGGAUCCCUUCCAGUCGAUGAGGUUGUUACACCUCAUCGACCAGAAGGAUUUCCUUCAGGUCAAUGAGGCA